rnacentral:rRNA from 1 species
UCGUAAAUGACGCAGCCUGAUGCAGCCAUGCCGCGUGAGUGAUGAGGCCUUCGGGUUGAAAGCUUUUUUUUCAGGGACGAAACUUCGGGACUUGUCCCCCAUUGGAAGUACCGUACCAAUACAGGAAGGCUAACUCCACGCUAUCCGCCCCGGUAAUGUAAUAAGAACCCCCCCGCCGCU